rnacentral:miRNA from 1 species
AUGUAUGUGUGCAUGAACAUGU